AAAUACACUGGGGGAAGGGGGUGGAUCCAGUGGUGCGCCGGGAAUGAACUGACCCAAGUGAGCUGGGACAUGUGCAUACAGAGAGCAGAGGCAGAAGUCAAGGAACUGGAGGCUGAGGAACCCAGCGGACCACGAAAGCAGGGAGAUAACUAGACAGCAUGCUCGGCUGGAAGGACCAAAGUCAGAGAAGGAAAAAUGAAUAAGAAAAUGAGCAGUCAGAGGCAGCUAGGGUGACGGACAGACAGCAUGAAGCGCAGCAGAAUGAAUAGCCAGAAGACUCGGACAGGCAGAGCCGAAGGACCGCAGAGCUCAGCGCCGGAGAGACAGCUGCCUUCAAACUCCUGGCCUCAAGUAAUCCUCCCACCUCAACCUCCCAAAGUGCUAGGAAUACAGAUG
rnacentral:lncRNA from 1 species